ACCAGGGCUACACACGUGCUACAAUGGCGCAUACAAAGAGAAGCGACCUCGCGAGAGCAAGCGGACCUCAUAAAGUGCGUCGUAGUCCGGAUUGGAGUCUGCAACUCGACUCCAUGAAGUCGGAAUCGCUAGUAAUCGUGGAUCAGAAUGCCACGGUGAAUACGUUCCCGGGCCUUGUACACACCGCCCGUCACACCAUGGGAGUGGGUUGCAAAAGAAGUAGGUAGCUUAACCUUCGGGAGGGCGCUUACCACUUUGUGAUUCAUGACUGGGGUGAAGUCGUAACAAGGUAACCGUAGGGGAACCUGC
rnacentral:rRNA from 1 species